AUACGUAGGGGGCAAGCGUUGUCCGGAUUUACUGGGUGUAAAGGGUGCUCAGGCGGGUUUGCAAGUCAGGCGUGUAAUUCAGAGGCUUAACCUCUGAACUGCGCUUGAAACUGCUUGGCUUGAGUGAAGUAGAGGCAGAUGGAAUUUCCAGUGUAGCGGUAAAAUGCAUAGAUAUGGGGAGGAACACCAGUGGCGAAAGCGGCCUCCUGGACCACUUCUGACGCUAAGACGCGAAAGCUAGGGUAGC
rnacentral:rRNA from 1 species